CCUGAGUCCACUUCUGUUCUCGCUGCAGUCAACAAGCUCUCUCCAAAAUGGUUUCUCGUGUCGUGUUCGCCUGCUUGGUCGUCCUUCUGCUGGCUGCUUGCGCCUUGGCCUUCCCUGACCCGAGCGGAGGAUACCCAGUCCGCACCCAUGGAUUUGGACCCGGAUACGGACACGUAGGGCACGGACAUGGGUAUGGGAGCCACCCUGUACAGACUUUAACCCUAGGCGGUUAUGGUAACGGAUACGGACACAGGCCGACGUACUAGUGAGAGUUAGAUGCUGUCCUUGGAUUCUGCCUCCAGUAACACGAUGGGAAAAAGAUUUUAGCAAAAUAAUGAACGAGGGUCAAACAACCAGCUCUUUCUCCUCCUUUCUCUUACAGUCUGUCUAAUUGGUCUCUGUCUUGUUUACAAUAAAAGUUGGAUUUUCCUUCA